ACUCACUUGACCCAUGUAUGAACGCCAAAAAGUUCUUGUGGCCCCAAGGCCUCGCCGAGGCUACUCCCAGCCAAGCAGGUGGCCUAGGAGUUAUGGAUGCAGGUUCCUUGCCCUUGACCUUGAGGUCAAAGGUGGAGAUACCAUGAUGAGAUUGCUGUCCUCAUAAGAGGAAGACGAGACCAGGACUUUUCAUGCCCCAUCAUUCAGAGACAGAGUGAAAGAUGGCCAUCUACCAGCUGGAAGAGAAUCCUUAUUAGGGACUAAACCCAACCAGCAUCUUGACCUUGGGCUUUGUAGCCAUUGGAACUACAAGAAACAAAACUGUUACUCAAGCCCUGCAGCUGGUGAUCUCCUCUUGGGCAGCUAAAGCCAACUGGAUAGUGGGAGUAUCCAACCCCUCUUCCUGGACAGUGAUGGUCAAAUCUGGUCAACCACCUAACCCACUCCCUAAAGAACCAACCAACAACCACCACUGCCACUCUCCCUCCCAGACAGCUCUGGUAAACAUGGAGAUCUUCUCUGUGUGCUUUCAAGAUCCUGUACCAGUGAAUCCCCAUCUCUCAUCUAGGUGGAUGUAAUUUCUUUCUCUCCUCUCCUAUGCUACUCCUCGUAUCAAGACUAUAACCAUGACAAUAGCUAUAAGCAUUAGUCAGGGUGAGAUGCAGUUCUACAGCCAUAUACCCAUCAUUCAGCCGUCCCCAAGGGCAGGAAAUAAUCAUACAGUGGUGUACACAUAUGCAUGAUGAAUGACUCCAUCCUGCUAGGAUUUCUGCCCUCUCUUCCUCAGGAGGUUCCCCUCUCCUUCUCAUGGCCAUGGGGACUUCCUAGCCCAAGAGCUUCACUUCCCCAUCCCUCAAUGCUCCUGUUUUGGGAGGUUUAAGACAUUAUCAAGCUUUGUGGCUCCAUAGGAUUAUUGGGGAGGUUUGAAAAGACUGAGUCUAGUCCUUGGGAAUUCUGAUUUACUUGGUUUGGAGAGUGACUGGAACAUUAAGAUUUGCAAAAACAAACAAACAAACAAAAACCUGAGGAUGUUAACUCACAGCUGAGUUUGAAACCCCCUGGGAAUCAUGAAGUGAAGGCAGUACCAUGACUACGGGCUUUGUAUCACCAUCUUGCAGGUAGCAAAUAGAUCUGGGUUUAAGUCCUGGCCAUGCCAUUUAAGCAGAUGAUUGAUGUGAGCUGCUCAGUCUUUCCAGGGCUUCAUUUCAUAAGCAAUAAAAUGGAAUAACACAUA